rnacentral:rRNA from 1 species
CCUACGGGAGGCAGCAGUGAGGAAUAUUGGUCAAUGGUCGGGAGCCUGAACCAGCCAAGCCGCGUGUGGGAUGAAGGCCCUCGGGUUGUAAACCACUUUUGUAGAACGAGAAGACACCUUCGAAUAAAUGGUGUUGCUGACGGUACUCUAAGACUAAGCACCGGCUAACUAUGUGCCAGCGGCCGCGGUAAUACGCAGGGUUCGAGCGUUAAUCGGAAUUACUGGGCGUAAAGGGUGCGCAGGCGGUCGAGUAAGACAGAUGUGAAAUCCCCGAGCUUAACUCGGGAAUGGCAUAUGUGACUGCGCGACUAGAGUGGGUCAGAGGGAGGUGGAAUUCCACGUGUAGCAGUGAAAUGCGUAGAUAUGUGGAAGAACACCGAUGGCGAAGGCAGCCUCCUGGGACAUAACUGACGCUCAGGCACGAAAGCGUGGGGAGCAAACAGGAUUAGAUACCCCGGUAGUC